rnacentral:rRNA from 1 species
AUUGAACGCUGGCGGCAGGCCUAACACAUGCAAGUCGAACGAGUGGCGGACGGGUGAGUAAUGUCUGGGAAACUGCCCGAUGGAGGGGGAUAACUACUGGAAACGGUAGCUAAUACCGCAUACCAUCGGAUGUGCCCAGAUGGGAUUAGCUUGUAGGUGAGGUAACGGCUCACCUAGGCGACGAUCCCUAGCUGGUCUGAGAGGAUGACCAGCCACACUGUGACUGAGACACGGUUCAGAAUCCUAUGUGAGGCAGAAGUGGGGAAGAUUGCACAAUGGGCGCAAGCCUGAUGCAGCCAUGACGCGUGUAUGAAGAAGGCCUUUGGGUUGUAAAGUACGUUCAGCUGGGAGGCGUUACCCGCAGAAGAAGCACCGGCUAACGCCGUGCCAGCAGCCGCGGUAAUUC